AAGUCGUAACAAGGUAACCGUAGGUGAACCUGCGGUUGGAUCAUUAACAAAAAUGUUACUCUUACCUACUCCCCUGGGGGUAUGGUAGGGUAAAAACACCAUUUUGUGAACUGUAUGAGGUAGGCUUUGGUCUCCCAUUUUCAACUAGAUUUUUGUAUUGUAAAAACUAUAAGUUGUAUUGACUUAAAAAUUAAUAUUAAACAACUUUUGGCAACGGAUCUCUAGGCUCUU
rnacentral:misc_RNA from 1 species